rnacentral:rRNA from 1 species
UGUAGAGAAUCUGCCCUGUACUGGGGACGAACAGAGGGAAACUUCUGCUAAUACCCCAUAUGAGCGUACCUGCGAUGGUAUUCUUGAAAGUUCCGGCGGUACAGGAUGAGUCUGCAUCUGAUUAGCUAGUUGGUGGUGUAAUGGACUACCAAGGCGACGAUCAGUAGCUGGUUUGAGAGGAUGAUCAGCCACAAUGGGACUGAGACACGGCCCAUACUCCUACGGGAGGCAGCAG